GCAAAUUAGAUAAAAUUGAUUGUACUACUGAUUAGAUAAAAAAAAAAAAAGUAGUAAGAAAUUAGAUUUUUUUUUCUUAAUGACGCCAGAAGAGUCUUUCUGUAGCACCGCCAUUUUCUCACUUUAACGUUGUGAUGUUCUUGCUGGAGUUUCUCCUCAAAUACCUGCGUCGGUUAUCUUUCAAAUUUGUUUUGGCAGACAGUACAAACCAGCUCUUCAUCGUGUUAAUUGAGCCGUGGACCUUCAUCUUAGUCAGUUUAAGAAUUACACCUGAUCUUCCUGUUUCUGUCCUGACUAAGAGGAUCCAGUACACUUGAUCGAAUUACACCUGAUCUUCCUGUUUCUGUCCUGACUAAGAGGAUCCAGUAGACUCGAUAGGAAACCGACAUUGAAGACCAUGUGACGGCAGGAAUGGAUGUGGGCAUUCUCAUAAUUCCUGAUGGAGAUGAUGCCCUUGACUACUACGUGGUGCUGGAGGAACAGAUUGCCCUGAGAGAUGCCAUAGACCUCCCUCAUGCUGCCGCUCUACUAGUCGGGCUGAUUUUUGCGCUUAAUAUUGAUUAUCCCAAAAAACUACGCUACACAUUUGAGGUCAUUCAAAAGAUUUUCAUUGACCUUGGAGGUGAUCAGUGUUCUGGUGCAUGGACUGAAAAAUAGACUACUUCGCAAAACUGUGUAGUGUCCUAACUGAAAGGUAUAUGAUGUGUGCCUUUUUGUUCAUGAUUUAGCCUGGUGAAUUUCUGGUUGUUUUAAAACGAUGAAUGUUCAAUUCUUGACGUGGUACUUUAUGCAGUGCUAAUAUAUGUAACUCAAUAUAAAAAUAUCUUGUUUGAUUUUUAGACACUUGUUUUCUGUUUAUACAGUGUUAUUGUUAAUGUACAUUAAGUCAAGUCACCUUUAUUUAUAUAGCGCUUUUAACAAUACAGAUUGUGUCAAAGCACUUAACAGUAUCAAAUUGGAGGACAGAGUGUCAGUAAUGUAUAAGAUUAAACACUCAAUUUUCAGUUAAAGUCAUUUCAUUAUUGAGUUCAGAGAUGUCAUUGUGUAGCUCAGUUUAGUUUAAAUAGUAUCUGUGCAAUGAAAUCGGCAAUAAUCGCUAGAAAUUAAGUGUCCCCAACUGAGCAAGCCAGAGGCGUUACUUUGUUUGUACAGUAUUGUUCAUGCAGUGCAUUUGUUUUAUGCAGUACAGCAC